GUGACCGAGGCAGAGUUGGAUCAUGUGCCGGGUCGUGAUCCCGGAUACGGCGGGUUCGAGCCCCGCCGGUCACCCC
rnacentral:tRNA from 1 species